CCUGUCAAGGGGCACUUGGCCCGCUUCUGCCUUGUGACUGUCACGAAUGGUGCUGUUACGAACACAGGUGUCCAAAUAUCUGUUUGAGUCCCUGCUUUCAACUCCUUUGGGUAUAUGCCCAGGAGUGAAAUUGCUAGACCAUAUGAUAAUUCCAUGUCAUUUUUUGAGGAGCUGCCAUACCGCUUUCUACAGGGGCUGCACCAUUUCAAUGUUCCCACAAGCAGUGUGAACAUGCCAGUGUUCCCACACCCAGGUCAAUACUUAUUUUCUGCUUUUUUGAUAAUAGACAUCCUAGUGGGUGUGAAGUCGCACCUUGCUGAGCUUCGGGUCUGCACAUCCCUGGUGACAUACCGUGUAUAUUUCCAUAGGCCCACUGGCCACCUGUAUGUCUUCUGUGGAAAAAUGUCAAAGUCCUCGCUCAUUUUUUAAUCAGUUGUCUAUUUUUUGGUGGUUGAGUUAUAGAGUUCUUUAUUCUGGGUGUCGACCUCUUCCCACGUACGUGAUCUGGACAUGUUUUCCCCCUUUCCUGCCCCACCCGGUCACUCUGCUGACGGUGCCCUUCGGCGCACACACAUUUUUCAGUUCCGUGCCCAACAUACCUACUUUGUUCUUUUGUUGCUCUGCUUUUAUCCAAGAAAUCGUCGCCAUGUGUGUUUUUCCCUGUGUUUUCUUCUGAGAGUUUUAGUUUCAGCUCUCAUUUCAUGUCUUAGGCGAGGUGAGCCCAGUGGCACUCUUUUGCAGGUGGAUAUUCAGUUUUCCCAGUACCAUUCGUCGAAAAGACUGUUCUUGCACCAUUGAGUCGUCUUGACAUCCUUGCCAAGUAUCAUUUGCCUAUAUAUGCUGGCAGCUUAUUUCUGGCCUCCAUAUUCUGUUCCUCUGCUCUGUAUGUUGGUCUUCAUGCCAGGACCACGCUGUGUUGAUUCCUGCAGCUUUGUAGUAAGUUUUGAAGUGAAGAAGUGUGAGACCUCCAACUUUGUUCUUUUUUGGCUGUAUUGAGUCCCUUGGGAUUCCGUAUGAUAUUUGGGAUGUAUUCUAUUUCUGCAAAGAACAUCAUUGGCUGAUAUGUGAUUUUAAAUUGGGGGCCUGGUAAGCAUAGAAGGAGGCCUAUUUGGAGACAGUUCAGACAAGAACUGAUGGUUCUUCUGAAUGGCUGGGUAGCAUAGGCUACAGAGACCCCUGGAGGGAUUUGGAAACUGUUUGGGUAGGGAGAUCAGUAGGAUUUAGUGAUGGGUUGGACGUGGGUGAGGAGGAAAUGAGGAAUCUAGAACAGCUCCUCAGGUGUGGCUCGGGGCAGAUGGUGGUACCCAUUGCUGAGAUGGGGAGAACAGGAACAGGUUUGGGAAUGAGGGUGUCAAGAGGCAGGCAGUCCGAGAUGGCUGGGAGAGAGCAGGUGGCAAGCAAAGUCAGCUAGGCUGCGGACACCCAAGCAUGGAACACGGUGGGGGCUGCAGGGCUGGGGAAGAGCUGCGAGUGUCAGCACCAGAGGGGCGGCCUGUGCAGCCUUGAGGCGGCUGCGGCAGCUGAGGAAGGCGAGUAGCUGGAGCAGGGGCCCGAGUAGCCGCUGGGAUCGUGUAGGCGUCACUCUCAUUCACUUGGGGUUGGUGACCCCCAAGCUCCCGUGCAGCCCUCUUGUGGCUCCGCGCUGUCCACCAGCACCCCAUGUCUCCCUCCUUCACCCCUCUCCUCCCUGAGAGCUUUCCUGACCGCCUCAGCCUCUGCACCUCCUUCUCCUCUCCAGGCCGCAUGCCAGCCCUGCUGUGGGGGCCUUGUCUGUGUAGCUGAGGCUGUAGGAGCUUGCAGAGCCCUUGAAGACAGGGAACUUGUUUCAUUCAUCUUUGUUUUCCCAGUGCCCAGUAUGGAGCCUGGACCAUGGGCCUCUGGAUGGAGAGAUUAAGGGCAGGUCCACUCAUGAUAUUUACCCCAAGAAACAAAUGAAUAUGUCCAUACAGAAGAUUGUCCCCGAAUGUCCAUAUCAGCUUGCAUCGUGGCUAAAAUGGAAACAACCCAAAUGCCCGGGAACAGAUGAACAAAUUGUGACACAUCUGCACAAUGGCAUUCACAGUAAAAAGAGAACUGCUGAUACACCCAGUAAUCUGGUGAAGCAUUAUGCUAAGUAAAAGAAGCCAGACCCAGAGGAGUGCAUACUGCGUGACUCCAUUUAUAUGAAAUUCCAGAUCAAGCAAUACUAACUUGCUAUGACAGAAGGCAGAUCCUCGGUUGCCUGCCGGGCUGGGGCUGGGGCUGGGGCUGACUGCAGGGGCAUGGUGGGAAUGUUCUGUAUCUGGGGAGAUGGAAAUGUUUGGUACCUUGAUUGUGAUGGUUAGUUACAAGGGUGUAAUGUUUGUCACAACUCAUUAAACUGUACACUUAAAA